rnacentral:rRNA from 1 species
UACGUAGGGUGCGAGCGUUAAUCGGAAUUACUGGGCGUAAAGCGUGCGCAGGCGGUUUUGUAAGCCAGGUGUGAAAUCCCCGGGCUUAACCUGGGAAUUGCAUUUGUGACUGCCCGGCUAGAGUGUGUCAGAGGGGGGUAGAAUUCCACGUGUAGCAGUGAAAUGCGUAGAUAUGUGGAGGAAUACCGAUGGCGAAGGCAGCCCCCUGGGAUAACACUGACGCUCAUGCACGAAAGCGUGGGGAGCAAACAGG